rnacentral:lncRNA from 1 species
AGACCUCGUUGGAGAAGCUUCCAGCACUUCCUGCCAUCUGAAAUGCUGCUGUUUUACUUUGAUUGCCUCUCUCCUCUGAAAGACUGGAAGUUCUUCGAGGGCAGUGAUUUUCUUGCAAGGCUAAAUCCUCAGUACCUGAAACAUGCUUCACACUUGCAAUCAAAGCAUAUGGACUAUAUUUUAAUUCUACAGACAUUGCGUUAGGCAGAACAGCUACCAACACCCAAUCCCUGAAAUUUGUGAUUAUGUUUUGAUACAUGGCAAAAGGAACUAUGCAGAUGUAAUUAAGGUUAAGAACUUUAAAAUAGGAAGAUUAAAUCCAAGGAGUUCUUCAAAGUAAAGAACUACUACAUGCAGAAGAUUGGGAAGAAAUAACAGAGAGUGCUUGAAGAAUAGAUGUGGCUAGGACAAUAUCUCUGAAUCUCUGAAUGGCCCAUGGUGGUGACCCCCAGCCAGAGUGAACUGUGCAGCAGCAAUGGUGCCCAGUGGGCAGCAACAGUGGAACAGAAGAAACCACAGUGGAAAGGAGGCCACUUUGUAUUAAAAAUAACAAUAUUUCAUAGGAAAUUCUCUUAAAUUCAUCAAGGGAUCCAGUGGCUGUGCAUAACCUUUUCUAGCUUCAACCCAUCGAACAUGAAUGCCAUGUGUUGAGGAUGCAGAAACAAUCAAGACAGACAAGGUUCUAGCCACCCUUGAGCUAUAACCAAGUUGGAGAAAAAAGUCAGCAUGCAAGUAAACAAUAAUCAUUCAAGCUAUAUAGGUUGUGCCUCAUGAAACAAAAGGACUUUGUAUGUGAGAGAGUAAUGGAAACCAGGCACAGCUUUUAAGAGAUGAUGUCUAGAAUGGGACCUAAAGAAGAAGGAGCUCUCCAUGCAAAAAUAUAAGAAAAGCCCAUUCUAAGCGAGAGACAUCAGGAAGGACAAAGGAACCGAGGCAGGAAAGAGUUUGGUGUCUUUUAGGAAUAGAUGAGAAUCCAAUCUUGGGCUAAUGAAGCAACACAAGAUUCGCAACAGCAGGGAGUUGCUACUAUCUUUAGCUUGAAGGAGAAAAAGGAGGAGGUUGUAUUACCAGAGCCCAGGGGUGGAGUGACCCAGCAUAACAUAGAAUCUUAGUUGGUAUAUUCAAGAGAAGUUGGAUCCAAAGAAGAGAUACAGCCAUUAUUAGAGAUGCUGCCCCAGAGGGAGAAGGAGAGAUACCUUGAAAAUUUCCCUUAAUCCCUCCAUUCGUUAUAUCACCAAUGACUUCCAGUGACUGAACCAAAUCAGAUGCCAGAUGACACAAUAGCCUAGCAAAUGCAGUCUAAGAAUUCAAUCUCCAACACACCCAGUAGAAAGAGCAAAGGGUAAGAAAUUGACUUGAGAGCAAGUUGGCUCAGAACAGUAGACCCUUAAAUUCAUUAAGGGUCAACUACUUUAAUACUUUGGGAAAAUAAUCCCACUAUGCAGGGAAAGAGGAUGAAUUUUAAAAUGUCAUAUUUUAGGUAUAUAAAGAAAAAUCCUGCCUGACCCUGAUAUAAAGAAAUGAAGAUAUUAGAAAAAAGUGUUGGCUCUACAUGUCCAGGUACUACUGAUCACGACAGCACUUACAGGCUCUAAAUGGUUAACUUCCUGAAAAGUGGCUGUUAUAUGGAAAACCAUAAAACAAUCAUUGGUGAUCCUUGUUUCUAUUUAAAAAAACAUGCUCUUAGGUUCAAGUAGACUGACCCACUUUAGGACUAUCUAUCCCUAGGGAUCUUGUAAAAUGCAGAGAAUGAGAAAAACCUUUAGAAGAUGCUAAACUCUCCGCUUUUAAGCUAACUAGCAUGUUGAACAAUUUAUUUGUACAAUAUGAGAUAUGACCAUAUUGCAUCUCAUCUUAUGGAAUUACUCAAGUUAUAUACAAUUUUCUCAAGUGCUAUUGCUAGUCUGGAUGUAGGAGUGAAGAGAAUAAAUUGAGGGCUUGAUCUAUGUUUGGGGUUUUCAGAGAAGACAUAGAAAUGAAAGAAGAACAGAUUGGUUGAGAAUAUAAUCAAGUGAUUAUGGGUUCUGUAUUGAGCAGAUAAUUUAGUCCAAGAAGAUGCUUAUAGUUAUGAAAGAAAAUUCAGGAUCAAGUACAUGAGGUCUAUAGAAGGUCAAACAGUAGUUAAGAAGGAGUGAAGAAGUGUGAGAGCUAAAGGAUGUAAAGUAGAAGUCAGAAAGUGAGGGCAAUGAGGCAUUCUAGUGCAUGAAUGUGACAGGGAGCAGCUGAAGAGAAUGGAAGUGAUAGUUCUAGUUCAACGGUUCCAGGAACUGCCAUGUUAGGGAGUUAGAAAGUUGCCCACAUGGAUUUGAAAUUUGUCCUUAAUUUAUUCAUCAAAUGUAGUUAGUGCUAUUAUGUCUAUUGUUCAACGUUGCUGAGUAACAAACAACCUCAAAAAUCCUAUCGGCUUCCAAUAACAUUGUGUCUCGUGCUUAUCAGACUGUGGUUUGACUAUUUUCAGUUGAUCUAGGCUGGACCAUGUUGCUCCACGGUGUGAGACUGGAGAACUUUGCUCCAGGAUUUCAGUCUUUUCUAUGUGUGUUUAUUUUAGAGGGCAGGCUGAUGGAGAAGAAGCUACCUGGGUAUGCUCUUCUUAUUGAGAGUGACAGUACAGGAGGCAAAAGCCUAACCACACAAGCAAAUUAAAACCUCAACUCACUUCAUAGCUGCUAAAAUUUCGUUGGCCAAAACAAUUCAUGUUUUAUUAAAAUAAACUGAAAACUGAAAUUAAUAAGAGGUUUUUCUUUUCUAAUGAGUUGUAUUAUAAAAUCAUACGGCAAAAUCUUUGGUUAAGACAGAGUAAAUAUUUCAAAUGAAGAUGCAAU